GGUGAUUUAUUUUGGAUGUUUUAUAGAUUAUUACACACGUUAAGGUGUUCUUUAACGUUUCGGUUAGAGCGCUAAGUACCCACCUACUAGCUAUAGGGUAUAUUUUUUUAUUAUAUAUAUAAUUUUUUUUUUUUUGUAUAUCACGUCCCGAAUUCCCGACCCUCUGCGUAUUACGUGUGUACACGAUUGAUAUCACUCAUCGCCGGUUUAUCUAUGUAUAUUUGAUGUUUCUUGACGUAAGAAUUAUUCUUAUUAUUUUUCUUUUCGUUCUUUUUUUUUUUUUUUCGCCCCUCCUCCGCGGACAUUCAUUGAUGGAACAAACAAAACGAGUUUUUAGUUUACAAAUAUUUAAUCGUAACGGGCCGUGGAACGCGGGCCGCCGCCGCGCCGUCAGUCGGACCCGAGAAUCUUUUGGUUUUUUUUUUUUUUUUAAUUAUGUCGGGUUUUCAUUUAUCCGCCGUGUUUACGGGAGAUUCGAAAGGAGAAAAAAAAAAUAAAUACAUGACGAGCCGCUUUUCAACAAAGACGGAAUUACGUUCUGCCGUAUAUACAUACGAGCGCGCGCAUCUAGUUAUACGAUUUUAUAAAUAACAACAAUUGCGCGUACCUGAACAAGACGGCCGUUAAUAGGACGUCGCGUCUAACAGCAUAUUAUUAUUAUUAUUGUUGUUGUUGUUGUUGUUAUUAUUAUUACUAUUAUUAUUAUUAUCAUUAUUAUACGCGGCCGCGGCGAUACGCGUUGUAAAAACAUCUAUAACUUAUCGUUUAUGUUGGUUUAUUUUUCUCCCAACGAAUCUUUUGAUAAUCUCGAAUUGAAU